UGUAAACCGAUGAAUAAGGAGAGUACCUUUGAUGAGAACAUCUGCAGAGAGCCGUGUUUGGUGUGAUACGGUGAUGGGACGCAAGGGGAAUGGGCUUAGGAGGGCGACCGAAAGCGCAGUGUUUUGCGCGUGAGUAGCAGUCGACGGGAACCGUCACCGUUAUCCGGCGGGCUUAUAUCACGCAUUGGUUGGUAUUGGCAGACAGAGAGAGGAUGUGCUUCUUGCGCAUCAAUUUGGGUGGUACCGCGAGCGCCGGACAGGCGCAUUCGUCCCAGAA
rnacentral:ncRNA from 1 species